UUAUUAUUUUUAUUUUUGGCUAUUAGUUUCGUACUUGAAUUGGGGUUGAAGAUGUUUCUGAAAUAGUGGAAAUGCGCUAAUCGAUUUUCAGCUUCUCCCCUUUUCCCCUGCUGCUAAUUUUCAUUUUUGAAUACAGUGCUAUUUCUACUUCAGCAAGAAUUUGAUGCGAUUUUAGUAUUAGACUGAUUGUUGAGUUGAAAUUCAGCAACAGAUACCUCACGGUGCUGCACCUCAGCUAACGUACUUGUGGGAUAUGUGCACGCUGGACAGUUCAAAUUUCAGGACUGUGUAUGGAGCAUAGCUGGGAGAGCUCACUGAUGGGUUGGAACUGUUCAGUUACGACCAUCGAUCUGACGGUUAGAGAGAAAAUGGGCCCACGAUUUGGAUGGACGGUGCAUGUAUGCCACAUGCACGGUGGAUGACUUCGGCAAGCAACUGUUAUCCGGCCACAAAGGAUGUAACUCAGACCCUUUGCUUGAUGCGGGCUUGCGCUGUUUGAUUUGUUGCAGAUGAUUUACUCAAUAUGCAGAUGGUUUCACCUAUGUCCUUCAUUUGAAAUGAGAACACGUUUGUUCGCAUUAUGGGAACUAGGGGGCACGGGACGUGCAAGCUUGCAACUCACGCAGAGGGAGUAGGGGAGAGAGA